GUGGGGAAUCUUGCGCAAUGGGCGAAAGCCUGACGCAGCCAUGCCGCGUGGAUGAUGAAGGUCUUAGGAUUGUAAAAUCCUUUCACCGGUGAAGAUAAUGACUGUAGCCGGAGAAGAAGCCCCGGCUAACUUCGUGCCAGCAGCCGCGGUAAUACGAAGGGGGCUAGCGUUGCUCGGAUUUACUGGGCGUAAAGGGCGCGUAGGCGGACAUUUAAGUCAGGGGUGAAAUCCCGGGGCUCAACCUCGGAACUGCCUUUGAUACUGGGUGUCUUGAGUAUGAGAGAGGUGUGUGGAACUCCGAGUGUAGAGGUGAAAUUCGUAGAUAUUCGGAAGAACACCAGUGGCGAAGGCGACACACUGGCUCAUUACUGACGCUGAGGCGUGAAAGCGUGGGGAGCAAACAGGAUUAGAUACCCGGGUAGUCC
rnacentral:rRNA from 1 species